rnacentral:rRNA from 1 species
CCUACGGGUGGCAGCAGUGAGGAAUAUUGGUCAAUGGCCGAGAGGCUGAACCAGCCAAGUCGCGUGAGGGAAGACGGCCCUACGGGUUGUAAACCUCUUUUGUCGGGGAGCAAAGCGAACCACGUGUGGUUCAUUGAGAUUACCCGAAGAAAAAGCAUCGGCUAACUCCGUGCCAGCCGCCGCGGUACUACGGAGGAUGCGAGCGUUAUCCGGAUUUAUUGGGGUGAAAGGGUGCGCAGGCGGGGGUGCAAGUCAGUGGUCAAAUUGCGGGGCGCAACCCCGUACUGCCGUUGAAACUGCAUCCCUUGAGUGCGCGAGAAGUAUGCGGAAUGCGUGGUGUAGCGGUGAAAUGCAUAGAUAUCACGCAGAACUCCGAUUGCGAAGGCAGCAUACCGGCGCGCAACUGACGCUCAGGCACGAAAGCGUGGGUAUCGAACAGGAUUAGAUACCCUUGUAGUC